CCGUCAAUUCAUUUGAGUUUGGGCCCGCCGAUUUGCUGGAGCAUGUGGUUUAAUUGGUUGCAACGCGAAGAACCUUACCUGAGUCUUGACAUCCACGGAAGUUUUCAGAGAUGAGAAUGUGCCUUCGGGAACCGUGAGACAGGUGCUGCAUGGCUGUUGUCAGCUCGUGUUGUGAAAUGUUGGGUUAAGUCCCGCAACGAGCGCAACCAUUAUCCUUUGUUGCCAGCGGUCCGGCCGGGAACUCAAAGGAGAUCGCCAGUGAUAAACGGGAGGAAGGUGGGGAUGACGUCAAGUCAUCAUGGCCCUUACGACCAGGGAUACACACUUGCUACACUGGAGCAUACAAAGAGAAGCGACCUCGGAGAGCAAGUGGACCUCAUCAAGUGCGUCGUAGUCCGGAUUGGAGUCUGCAACUCGACUCCAUGAAGUUGGAAUCGAUGGUGAUCAUGACCAGAACGGGCGGUGUGUAC
rnacentral:rRNA from 1 species